rnacentral:rRNA from 1 species
ACGUAGGAGACAAACGUUAUCCGGAGUUACUGGGCGUAAAGGGCGUGUAGGUGGUUUUGUAAGUCUGGCGUGAAAUAUCUCGGCUUAACCGAGGCAGGUCGUCGGAUACUGCGGAACUAGAGGACGGUAGAGGCGUGUGGAAUUCCCGGUGUAGAGGUGAAAUUCGUAGAUAUCGGGAGGAACACCAGUGGCGAAGGCGGCGACCUGGGCCAAUAUU